UUGACGCGAGAACAUAUUCAAAAUUGUAAAUUGUCAUUUAGACUUUUAAAAUUUGAUGUUUUUUUUUUCAAAUUCGGAUUCCUAUUUUCCGUUUUUGCCAUACAAAUUUAGCCUUUGGCAUCAUCUAUGGAUAAAUAGACUAACGAUUUAAAGAGAAGAGAGAGAAUUAAUAAGAUAGAGAUUUGCAAAGAAUACUCAUUCUAAGGCAAGGCAAUUAAUAUAACUAUAAAUGCCUAUAGAAAGUUGACUUAACCCUGAAAUAUAUGCCAUAUAAAAAGCUGAAUUUCAUUAGUUUUGUUUUUGAAGCGAAGGCACUUAAAAAGAAAACUCAAUUUUUUUGGUUUUACUAUAUUUUGGAGCACUGUUUUUCGGCGCCUCUCUCAGCGAUUCUCAGGCUGCCAGCUAAAAAGCUCCGUCAGUGCUGUGCAAGAAGCAAGCUUUGAUUAAUUCCAUCAGAUUUUCCUAUCAACACGAAAUGCAACAAAGUGGAAACGCAAGAUUUGCCCCGGGGUCAAUGAAAUAAAACGCAAUUGCCCAGCGACCAACAAACCAACCAACCACCCCCCCCCCCCCCCCUUCCACCUUUCGCAAGCGAUUGCAAAGGUAAGCAGAACUAAGUGCUGCCGGCGAGAGAGAGCGCGGCAGCAGCAGCGAUCGGAGCGUAAAAAGUCAUCAACACAACUCAAAGUAAAAAAAAAAAGAGGCAUAACAAGGCAAACAAACCGGCGGACGCAACAGAGCGAUGCGAAGCAAACCAAAGCAAAGGCAGUGAAGCAGCAGCAGCAGCAGCAGCAGCAGCGACAGCGACAGCGGCAGAGACACUCAAGCGGUUAGCCAGCCGCUCAGUGUGACAGUGAACGUCGUACGUCGUUGUGUUAUGGCAGCAGACGCAGUUAGCUGCUCGAGAAGAAAAAACCAGCAACAACAACAACAGCAGCAGCAGCAGCAGCAGCAAAACAACAGUAAUAGUUGUGCAGUGAAGAAAAAAGGCAAACGGCGUAUAAACUGUGUGACAAAGUGCAAGAAAUAAAAAC